CACGAUAACAGAAGGAGCUCUCCUGAGUAGAUUUCAAGUCUGGAUUGAUUUAAUUGUGAACAAUGAAGAUAUCUAAUCCUGCUUUAUUCAUGUUCUUGUGGCUGCACCUGGAUGAGUUUAUCCAAGGAGAGAAAGUGGAUCAGCAUCCUUCUACCCUGAGUGUCCAGGAUGGAGACAGUGCUGUUAUCAACUGCACUUACUCAGACAGUACUUGGGAAUAUUUCUCUUGGUAUAAACAAGAAACUGGAAAAGGUCUCCAGCAUAUUAUAGACAUUCGUUCAAACAAGAAGAUAAGUCAAAUCCAAAGAUUCAUUGUUGUGUUGGAUAAGAAAGCCAAACACUUCUUCCUGAACAUCACAGCCACUCAGCUUGGAGACUCAGCUGUCUACUUCUGUGCAGCCAGUGCAGUAUGCUUCCCAGACACCUGCAGCCUGUACUCAAACCUGCCACUGGGCAGAGCUCCACCUGCUUCCUUUGUCACAGUCUUCCCAUAG